rnacentral:rRNA from 1 species
UACGUAGGCAGCGAGCGUUGUUCGGAGUUACUGGGCGUAAAGGGUGUGUAGGCGGUUGUUUAAGUUUGGUGUGAAAUCUCCCGGCUCAACUGGGAGGGUGCGCCGAAUACUGAAUGACUUCGAGUGCGGGAGAGGAAAGUGGAAUUCCUGGUGUAGCGGUGAAAUGCGUAGAUAUCAGGAGGAACACCGGUGGUGUAGACGGCUUUCUGGACCGUAACUGACGCUGAGGCGCGAAAGCGUGGGGAGCGAACAGG